CUAUGUGUUGUUGGGUAGGGGAGCGUUCUGUAAGCCUGUGAAGGUGUGCUGUGAGGCAUGCUGGAGGUAUCAGAAGUGCGAAUGCUGACAUAAGUAACGAUAAAGCGGGUGAAAAGCCCGCUCGCCGGAAGACCAAGGGUUCCUGUCCAACGUUAAUCGGGGCAGGGUGAGUCGACCCCUAAGGCGAGGCCGAAAGGCGUAGUCGAUGGGAAACAGGUUAAUAUUCCUGUACUUGGUGUUACUGCGAAGGGGGGACGGAGAAGGCUAUGUUGGCCGGGCGACGGUUGUCCCGGUUUAAGCGUGUAGGCUGGUUUUCCAGGCAAAUCCGGAAAAUCAAGGCUGAGGCGUGAUGACGAGGCACUACGGUGCUGAAGCAACAAAUGCCCUGCUUCCAGGAAAAGCCUCUAAGCAUCAGGUAACAUCAAAUCGUACCCCAAACCGACACAGGUGGUCAGGUAGAGAAUACCAAGGCGCUUGAGAGAACUCGGGUGAAGGAACUAGGCAAAAUGGUGCCGUAACUUCGGGAGAAGGCACGCUGAUAUGUAGGUGAAGCGACUUGCUCGUGGAGCUGAAAUCAGUCGAAGAUACCAGCUGGCUGCAACUGUUUAUUAAAAACACAGCACUGUGCAAACACGAAAGUGGACGUAUACGGUGUGACGCCUGCCCGGUGCCGGAAGGUUAAUUGAUGGGGUUAGCCGCAAGGCGAAGCUCUUGAUCGAAGCCCCGGUAAACGGCGGCCGUAACUAUAACGGUCCUAAGGUAGCGAAAUUCCUUGUCGGGUAAGUUCCGACCUGCACGAAUGGCGUAAUGAUGGCCAGGCUGUCUCCACCCGAGACUCAGUGAAAUUGAACUCGCUGUGAAGAUGCAGUGUACCCGCGGCAAGACGGAAAGACCCCGUGAACCUUUACUAUAGCUUGACACUGAACAUUGAGCCUUGAUGUGUAGGAUAGGUGGGAGGCUUUGAAGUGUGGACGCCAGUCUGCAUGGAGCCGACCUUGAAAUACCACCCUUUAAUGUUUGAUGUUCUAACGUUGACCCGUAAUCCGGGUUGCGGACAGUGUCUGGUGGGUAGUUUGACUGGGGCGGUCUCCUCCUAAAGAGUAACGGAGGAGCACGAAGGUUGGCUAAUCCUGGUCGGACAUCAGGAGGUUAGUGCAAUGGCAUAAGCCAGCUUGACUGCGAGCGUGACGGCGCGAGCAGGUGCGAAAGCAGGUCAUAGUGAUCCGGUGGUUCUGAAUGGAAGGGCCAUCGCUCAACGGAUAAAAGGUACUCCGGGGAUAACAGGCUGAUACCGCCCAAGAGUUCAUAUCGACGGCGGUGUUUGGCACCUCGAUGUCGGCUCAUCACAUCCUGGGGCUGAAGUAGGUCCCAAGGGUAUGGCUGUUCGCCAUUUAAAGUGGUACGCGAGCUGGGUUUAGAACGUCGUGAGACAGUUCGGUCCCUAUCUGCCGUGGGCGCUGGAGAACUGAGGGGGGCUGCUCCUAGUACGAGAGGACCGGAGUGGACGCAUCACUGGUGUUCGGGUUGUCAUGCCAAUGGCACUGCCCGGUAGCUAAAUGCGGAAGAGAUAAGUGCUGAAAGCAUCUAAGCACGAAACUUGCCCCGAGAUGAGUUCUCCCUGACUCCUUGAGAGUCCUGAAGGAACGUUGAAGACGACGACGUUGAUAGGCCGGGUGUGUAAGCGCAGCGAUGCGUUGAGCUAACCGGUACUAAUGAACCGUGAGG
rnacentral:rRNA from 1 species